GAUGAACGCUUGCGGCGUGCCUAAUACAUGCAAGUCGAGCGAACAGACGAGGAGCUUGCUCCUCUGACGUUAGCGGCGGACGGGUGAGUAACACGUGGAUAACCUACCUAUAAGACUGGGAUAACUUCGGGAAACCGGAGCUAAUACCGGAUAAUAUAUUGAACCGCAUGGUUCAAUAGUGAAAGACGGUUUUGCUGUCACUUAUAGAUGGAUCCGCGCCGCAUUAGCUAGUUGGUAAGGUAACGGCUUACCAAGGCAACGAUGCGUAGCCGACCUGAGAGGGUGAUCGGCCAGACUGGAACUGAGACACGGUCCAGACUCCUACGGGAGGCAGCAGUAGGGAAUCUUCCGCAAUGGGCGAAAGCCUGACGGAGCAACGCCGCGUGAGUGAUGAAGGUCUUCGGAUCGUAAAACUCUGUUAUUAGGGAAGAACAAAUGUGUAAGUAACUAUGCACGUCUUGACGGUACCUAAUCAGAAAGCCACGGCUAACUACGUG
rnacentral:rRNA from 1 species